rnacentral:rRNA from 1 species
GACGAACGCUGGCGGCGUGCUUAACACAUGCAAGUCGAACGGAAAGGCCCUGCUUUUGUGGGGUGCUCGAGUGGCGAACGGGUGAGUAACACGUGAGUAACCUGCCCUUGACUUUGGGAUAACUUCAGGAAACUGGGGCUAAUACCGGAUAGGAGCUCCUGCUGCAUGGUGGGGGUUGGAAAGUUUCGGCGGUUGGGGAUGGACUCGCGGCUUAUCAGCUUGUUGGUGGGGUAGUGGCUUACCAAGGCUUUGACGGGUAGCCGGCCUGCGAGGGUGACCGGCCACAUUGGAACUGAGAUGCGGCCCAGACUCCUACGGGAGGCAACAGUGGGGAAUAUUGCACAAUGGGCGGAAGCCUGAUGCAGCAACGCCGCGUGCGGGAUGACGGCCUUCGGGUUGUAAACCGCUUUCGCCUGUGACGAAGCGUGAGUGACGGUAACGGGUAAAGAAGCACCGGCUAACUACGUG